rnacentral:lncRNA from 1 species
CGCCCCCGCAACCCCCCGCCCUACUCUCUGGGAGCCCCUCCCGCGCACCUGCCAACUUGCAGCCUCACCCCCAGGCAUCUUUUACCCAAAGGGCUGUGCUUCUCUGCUGGGGGUUGGAGGGGCUACUGGGGUGCAUUGCUAAGUGCACGAACUGAGAAACUGGGACUUUAGUUAUUUCCAGCACGGAGCAGCUGCCCAAGUUACCUGGGAGAUGGGAAAAUCGUGUGAAAGCUGGUUAACCCUUUGAGGAUUAGAAUAAUGGUGGAAGCAGAAAGGAGAAGGAGUUUCACUACAGGAUGUACGUAGACCAGCCCUCCCUGCAGUCCUGUCCUUCAAGGCUCAAGUCUUGUCCACUCCAAAUCACCACUGGGAUUCCUAAGUCCAGGACAGAGCUUCAGGCAAGGAAAAGAGAAGAGUUGGGAAAGCCAGUUUCCAACAUUUAUCAGCCACGUGUACCUGCAAACUGUAUACCUUGGGUAAAUCAUCAAUCUCUUGAAAUGGGAAUAAAACCAUCUGCCUUGUCUU